UUUUAUUAUCAGUAUCAAGGGCUCCGUGAUCUGAUCUCAAUUCACAUACAGACUAAGUAUUUCCCUGAAGAGCUUUUUGAAAAUGAUUUCCUUUCUCAAGGUCAGGGCAGGGAGUAUGAUCUUGUCUUAGGCAUUAAAAUCCAACGGCUGGAUCAAGGUUAGAACAGCCAAGAACACCAAAGGGAACAAUGAGGAGAAGGCUCUGCUAUGUCAGCCCCGCGUCUGUAGUGUCCCUGGGACUUGAAGAGGACUCAUCGCAUUCCAUCCUCUCUGAUGCACAGGUGGGAGCUAAGCCUGGAUAUGUUCGCCCAAAUCUCUUGAUUUAGUUACCAUAGCUCAUGACGCACAGCUCUGUUUUUAGACACUGGAGUGUCUUGAAUGAGAAUUGACCCCGACAGACUCUGAUAUUUGAACACUGGGUACCCAGUUGGCACUGCUGAUUUGAGGUGAUUAUGGGGAAGAGGAGCUUCGUUGAUGGAAGAUCAUUACUGGGGGUACGCUUUGAUAGUAUAUCGCUGUCUCAGGAUUACUAUUGCUGUUAUGAACACCAGGACCAAAAGCAAGUUGGGGAGGAAAGAGUUUUUUUGGCUUACACUUCUAUAUCACUCUGUUCAUCAACAAAGUCAGUCAGGACAGGAACUCAAACAUAAAAGGAACCUGGAGGCAGGAGCUGAUGCAGAGGCCAUGGAAGGUGCUGCUUACUGGCUGGUUCCCCAUGACUUACUCAGCCUACUUUCUUAUAGACUUCAGGACCACAAGACCAAUGAUGGUACCACUCACAAUGAUCUGGGCCCUCCCACAUCAAACUACUAAUUAAGAAAUACAUUACAGGCUUGCCUAUAGCCCAAUCUUUUUGAGACAUUUUCUCAACUAAAGCUCUCUCCUCUCCAGUGACACUAGCUUGUGUCAAGUUGACAUCAGACUAGCCAGGACAGUAGGUUGCUCCACUUCUGGUACAUUCUCUCUGCUUCAUGUUUGCGGCUGACGACAUGAUCCUCAGUUUCCCAUUCUUGCCACCAUGCCUGCCUUCUGCCCUAUCUUCCCGCCAGGAUGGACUCUUAAUUCUCUGGAAUAAGAAGCCCAAACAAACCUUUUCUUCCAUAAGUUGCUUUGGUGGCAUAUCUUAUUACAGGCACGAAAAAGAAACGAACACAGACAACGUGAACAAUGGUGCAUUGACCAUUCCUACCGGCAAAGCUUUUCAGAAGAACUUGAUGGUUUUCCCUUAGAGAAGAAUUUCGAAAAAUGCAGCUUCAGGGGCAGAAGUGAAGGCUCUUUUCUGUUCUACCACCACCAGCACCACUACCACCUCCAUCAGCACCAGCACCAGCACUACCACCACCACCACUACCACCUCUACCAGCACCAGCACCAGCACCAGCACUACCACCACCACCUCUACCAACAGCAGCACCAGCAGCAGCAGCACCACCACCACCACACUCUCUCUGCUAUCCAAGAAGGCCAAGGGGGAUCUUCACUAGGCACAUUCUGGGUCACAAGUGGCUAUCUUGGGAGGGCAUGGCUAAGCUAACUUAAGUACCUUUCUUCUCCAGGGAUCUUGCCCGUCAGGUCUAGAACAAUGCCCCCCAAACAGACCUUAUUCUGAGAUCUCUUCUUGUUGGAUCCAAUGGGAAGAGCUGGCAUUCCUUUGGGACUAUGUAUGGAAGGCCUCAUUAGCCAGCCUUAGUUCAAAGUUGCCAGCCCAAUGACUUUUAAUAUAGGCACUCCUCUAGGUCCAGCAAGCAUACUGGAAGUCUGGCUUUGGCUUGUGGCUAAGGCCCUCCUCAUGGCAAGGAGCUGGGUCUCCUUUUCUUUAUUCCUCUGGGUAUUUUCCUCCUGCAGGCACUGUGUGAAGGAGGGAGUUCUGGGGCAAGGUGAUGUUUUUCUGCAUCUGGCUUCCAUAGACAAUGCACAAUCACCCAUGCCAGAUAAAAGGAUUUUAAGGCUAUUCAUAUUUUUUUGCCAAGUUCUAUAAUGAGCAUUUAUUAUUUCAUAAAAAGAAAAAGUUACCCUUAAAAAAAAAGCCCUAUAAUUAUUCCCAACUGCUCACUUUCCUCAACUGUAUAUUUUUAGAGUAACCCAAUAUAAUCUAUUGCUCUCCAACUGACUUGCUUUGUACGAGAGUUCAGACCUGUAAUUAAUAAUUGGAUCUUUAGACAAUAAAAGAAAAGAAAUAUAUAAGUAGGUCACAGCCUGUCUUUUUAAGAAUGAAGAGGGGGAACGAGGUAAGCCCAAGGAAGGAAUGAAGCUAAAAGAGAAAUGACCCGGGUCAAGAGUCAAGCCCUCUCUCUCAUGGAAUGAGCUCAGAGCUGGAGCUGCUCUGUAAAGAGCCUUGAGAUAUUUAGGAAUACCAAGGUCAAGGCAAGAGCCUUGGGAAGCCUUUAGCCUGUAACAUUAAGGGAGCCCUGGGAAGCCAGGUGUGUUGACACACACACCUUCAGUCCCAGCAUUGAAGAAGCAGAGCCAAGUGGAUCGAUCUCUGUGAGUUGGAAACCAGCCUGGUCUACAUAGAAAAUUCUAGGCUAUUCUAGGUUCUACAUAGUGAGAUCCUGCCUCAGAUAGCUAGCUAGCUAAUAGAUAGAUAGAUAGAUAGAUAGAUAGAUAGAUAGAUAGAUAGAUAGAUAGAUAGAUGACCAUGGUGGUCUGAGCCUGUAAUCCCAGCAUUUAGGAGAUGGUGGUAAGAUAAUCAGGAGGAAUUUAAGGUCAUCCUCGGAUACAUAUAGAAUUGAGGCAGCCUGGGCUAUGUGACACAUCUCAAAAACUAAGAUGGAAACAAGAACAAGCAAAACCUCACAGAAACUGGAGAGGUCGCUGACCAGUUAAGAGAUAUGUGGCUCUUGUGUAGGACGAGAGCUUGCUCUGAAAUUUACAUCUUGCUGUGUCCCGGUAGUGACUUGCUCCCUGUACAUAAAGCUGUAUGUAUCCUCACUUAAGACUGAUCCAUAUUUCCAUCUCUGAGACCGGUAGGGCCUUCAAGCUUCUUCCCUGCAGCAACGAGAAUUCAUCAAGGCUGAUGACAGCAGCCAGGGCGAGCAAAGGGUGUGGACCUGUGGGAGAACGUGGAGACAACCCUGGGUUGAGGCAGACUAUCAUCGUUGCCUCCUUCGCUGCCCUCAACUCACUUUGGACUUCAGCAUGACCUUGAACUUCUGACCCUUUUGCACCCGGCUCCCGAGUGCUGGAAUUGAAGCAUGUGCUGCCACACAGGAAUCAAUCCUAGAGCUUGGUUUAUACAAGGCAGAAACUUUACCAGCAGGGAUACAGCCCCAGUCACCCGCUGAAUCUCUACUUUAUGCAAUGUUGUGAUCAGAACAAGAUUGUCGAUGUAAGUUAUCCCUUUCACCUUCUCUUUUGUGACGUCAGCAGGACAGACAAGGAAAUCAAGAGCUUAAGGUAACUCUGAGUUGAGAGGCAGAACCAAGAAUGUGAGAUGUCUGGUCUGGAGCUCUUCAACAUUGUCUGAGAUGGCACAAGUCCACCGCACUCAGCUUUCUGGAUGUGAGCUACAGUAAGAAUGAGAAACACUAAACAUAGAUAAUGUUUGUUUUAAACCGUGCCUUAAUAACGUAAGUGAAAGCAAUGGAUUCUCACCUUCACAAUUACAAAGCACAGGCCAAGCACUACUCAAAAAUAAGAGUGGAAAGAGAUUUGCUGCCUAUAGGAGGCAAAGAAAGCCUGAGACUUCCUUUCAGGUUGAUGCCCUCAUCCGGCAAAGGGUGAACGGAAAUCGCUGGGAAGAAGCUGAGCCUGUCUCAGGUCCAGAGACCAGUUACCUUAGAUCAGGCUAGUUUACUGCCCUGAAGAUGCAUCCCUGGCUCACCUCUGUGUCAGAACUAACAUCUUGGAGCUGGGCAGUGGUGGCGCACACCUUUAAUCCCAGCACUAGGGAGGCAGAGGCAGGAUCUCUGAGUGUGAGGCCAGCGUGGUCGAAUUAGCUCUAGGACAGCUCAGGUUACACAGAGAAACCCUAUCUCAAAACAAAACAAAACAAAACAAAACAAAACAAAGCAAACAAACAAAAAACAACCAUACAAACAGAAAAAAAAAAAAAAAAACCACCACCAACAACCAAAAAGCAAAACAAAGCAAAGCAAAGCAAAGCAAAGCAAAGCAAAGCAAAGCAAAACCAAACCAAACCAAACCAAACCAAACCAAACCAAACCAAACCAAACCAAACCAAACCAAACCAAACCAAACCUUUUGGAAUCUAGUGACUUAGGAAACCCCUAGCUUCCACCAACCAAAAAAAACCUAAGGACAUAUCAGAUGGCACCUGAGACCUAUAGAUAGCGUUUCUUGUUUUGUUGUAACCACAUUUGUGAAGCACCCACCAAUGUAUUUAUAAAUUGCCUUAAUCGAUGACUUCUUUGUUCUGAUAGAAUACAACUCUAUGAAGCCACUAGCAUUGGGGAACAUGGAAUUUGGGAUAACCUAGCUCUGUGUUUUCCAGACCAUCAUCACUCAAAUUUGGCUCCAGAAUUAACUAUUCCCUUUGAGAUGAGAACUGUUUGUUCUUGUGUCGAAAGAAGCAUCAGGACUGUAUUUAAGAAGCAUAUGUAUAUGUAUAUGUAUAUGUAUAUGUAUAUGUAUAUGUAUAUG
rnacentral:lncRNA from 1 species